GAGCAUGUGGCUUAAUUUGACUCAACGCGGGAAAUCUUACCGGGUCCGGACACACUGAGGAUUGACAGGCAAUAUUAGCACUUAGCUUCGGCGACGUGUUAUGUUAAAUAUGCUAGUCCUUUCAUGAUUAUGUGAUAGGUGGUGCAUGGCCGUUCUUAGUUCGUGGAGUGAUCUGUCUGCUUAAUUGCGUUUCACCAAGGGCCUAUAAUUUUACGUGUGUUGCGGCACUUUGACCCCUCUUUUUUUAAAGAGCGCGUGUCUUGGUUUGCUUAGCUCGCACAAUUAGGUCCUGAAAGCAACGAACGUGACCGCAACCUCUUGUUGCCUUUAUACCAAACGUGCAUAUGCAAUUUUUUAAUUGCUUUGCGCGCAAAAAGGCUUAAACUAGAGGGACCGCUGUUACUUUCUUAAACCAGAGGAAGGUUGCGGCAAUAACAGGUCUGUGA
rnacentral:rRNA from 1 species